CUACGGGAGGCUCCAGUGGGGAAUAUUGGACAAUGGGGGAAACCCUGAUCCAGCAAUGCCGCGUGUGUGAAGAAGGCCUGCGGGUUGUAAAGCACUUUCGGUUGGGAGGACUGCUUCUAGCACUAAUAUUGUUGGAAGUUGACGUUACCUUCAGAAGAAGCACCGGCUAACUCCGUGCCAGCAGCCGCGUGUAAUACGGAGGGUGCAAGCGUUAAUCGGAAUUACUGGGCGUAAAGCGCGCGUAGGCGGCUAGAUCAGUCGGGUGUGAAAGCCCCGGGCUUAACCUGGGAACUGCAUCCGAUACUGUCUAGCUUGAGUACAGGAGAGGAGAGUGGAAUUCCACAUGUAGCGGUGAAAUGCGUAGAUAUGUGGAGGAACACCAAUGGCGAAGGCAGCUCUCUGGCCUGAUACUGACGCUGAGGUGCGAAAGCGUGGGGAGCAAACAGGAUUAGAUACCCCGGUAGUC
rnacentral:rRNA from 1 species